rnacentral:tRNA from 1 species
GGGUUGCUAACUCAAUGGUAGAGUACUCGGCUUUUAACCGAGCUGUUCUGGGUUCGAGUCCCAGGCAACCCA